rnacentral:lncRNA from 1 species
AUGAUACAUUGCCGCAGGCACCAUCGUAUCAUCCUUGCAAGUCGCCUUCCUCAGCACAUCCACAUUUUAAACCACAUUCACAACCAAAACAGAUACCGAAUUUACCUGAAAGAAAUCCACCUCGGCCGCACCCGAGAGCACAUCCAGCAACAGGCAUGGCCAGUCGGUUGCGGAAUUGGCCAGUGGCCUCGAGAACCGGCCAGUCCUAUUCAUCUCCCGCACCGCCUCCUUCCUCCACCACUCUUGCAUCCGGAGCACCUCCUUGGCCACACGCAGCGCCGCCAUUGCCUCCUGCAUGUACGCCUUCUCCUCCAUGGAGCAGUUGGUCGCCUCCCCCUCACCAAUGCAGAAGGUAGAGUCGUCGCCACGCGCCGAGGAGGACGCGGCGAGGACGGCCCUCGCCCACAGCGUCGGGACUGGGUAACCGCCGCCGCCACGACCGCCGCGGCGGGCGGCUGGUCCCGCGAGGCGUGUCAGCGCGGUGUGGAGGCCGUGGGAGCGGGAGAGCGCGGCGAGCACGUCCUUGGACCCGACGGCGCCGCGGAGCACGGCGUCGCGCGCGAGGCCCUCGAGCGCGGACUCGAGGCGGAGGCGGAGGUCGGGGAGCGACGGCGCCGCGCCCUCGGCGGCGGGGAGGAGGAGCGACCACGGCGCGUCGGGGCCGGGGCGGAGGAAGUCGACGAAGGCGGCGGCGUGCGGGGGCUCAGACCACUGCGGGAGGAGGCGGCGGAGGAGGAGGGUGGACUUGCCGACGCCGCGGGGCCCGUGGAGGAUGAGCGGCUGCGGGACGCGCGGGCGGAGCGCGUGGUUGUGGAGGACCGUCUCGAGGACGGGGCGCGGGAUCACACGCCACGCCCUGCGGCGGCCGGCCGCUCCGGCGGACGCGGCGGCCAUGGGCGGCGGCGGCGGCGGGAGGUUGGUAGGGUUUUGUGGGGGGUUGCGGGCUUGCGGCGAAGGAAUGGAAGAGAGGAGGAGACGAGCAGGAGUGGAGACGGACAAGGCCACAUCGCGGUGUGUUCUUUGCAGGCUGGGCCGGGCUGGUCAGGGCCGGGCCGGGCCGGGCCGGGUGAGAAUACGGUCUUUUGUUUGGUCCGUGAUUAUGGAUGCAGGAAUUAAAUACUAAAGU